GAUGAAGAACGUAGCGAAAUGCGAUAAGUAAUGUGAAUUGCAGAAUUCAGUGAAUCAUCGAAUCUUUGAACGCACCUUGCACCCUUUGGACUGCUCCAAAGGGUAUGCUCGUUUGAGUGUCAUUGUACUCUCACACUCUCUGAUCCUUUGGAUUUGGGGAGCAGUGGACUUGGGUGCUUGCUGCUUCCUUGUGGCUCACCUGAAAUGCAUCAGUGCAUCUCUCGAUUGGACAUAGUACGGCGUGAUAAGUGUCUUCGCCGGCACCUCAUAUGAGGGUGGCCGAUCGGGAGCUCUGUGCUUUCAAACCGUCUUCGGACAACGCUGACAACUUGACCUCAGAUCGAGUAGGACUACCCGCUGAACUUAAGCAUAUCAAUAAGCGGAGGA
rnacentral:misc_RNA from 1 species